GCUCAGCCCAAAUCCUUCAUUCAUCCCUGGGUUGUGAGGAGCCCUGUGAUAGAGCAAGCCACGCUCCAUCAGAGGAUGGGGAUAAGCACCCUGCACCUCCUGCCAGCCAGUUUCAAAUAUUCUCCUGUUGAAUCUCAGCAGCUGUACUUUUUGAAAAUAAUGUGUGAUUCAACAAUGAAAGUUUGCUUCUGAGUUCUGAGAAAGAAAAGCAAGCCAGCUCUCCUCUUCCUCGGGGAACACCCAACAAACUGCCAAAGCAUCAGAGCCCAUGUGAACUGUCUCAGAGCUGCCUCAAACACAGACCCUCGAGGAUGUCCCAUCUCCUGUCCCCUCCUGACUCUUGCUUCAGGUAAGCUAUGGGCAGUGUUGUACAGAGCCUCUGUCUAACCUUUAUUAAAAGCAUUUAUCAUAAGGCUCGUGAGAUGCUAGACUGGAUUCUGCCAGCUUUACUACCCUCUGUAACACCAUUCUGACCUAUGGGUCAUUUAGAGUAUGGACAGUUGGGCAGCAAUGUACCUGAAAGGUUCAGUAUGCAGCCCUCGAAUGGCAGCAGAGAGUUAGCAAGAACAUUUGGAAACGUAGAGAAAAUACUUCCGUACACAGCUGUUUCAUCCCUGCUGCAAAGUCAGAAUAAGUAAUCCCCUCGUUGUAGAAAGAAAUUAGGCUAUAUUCCUUCAGCUCCUUUGGAAAUACCCAUAGGUAUGAUGGGACCCUCAAGCUGGAUAAUUCUCUGCCUCUCUUGACGUGAAAACAAAGUUGCUUUGUACUGUACUGUUCUUCCUCAGGAAGGUGUCUCUGCCAUCCUUCCUGCCCCUUUUGCUGUUCAAAGAUUUUUUUAAGUCCUCAGACAGAAAGCUCAUUAAUCAUAAAUGUCCGUCUGUUGCAGUCUCUGCCACCGGUCCACGCCCACCACAAGGGUUUGUACACAUGAAGAGCAAGGGAAGCAUCCCAGUUAUCUGACUAGCUCCGGUUUUGGUCCCUCCUGCCCCUGAGGGCAUCUCAUCUCUCACUCAUUCACCUCCUCCUGUGUACUGCCUUGCCCCUCAGUGAAAGCCCCACAGGACCUGCAGUGCACUUUGACUUCUCCAGCAGGAAAGGCAGAGCUAAGCAGCAACCAAAGCAUUAUUUAUUUACCCCUGGGCACUGGUGACCUGCAAACAAGGAAUGAGCCUUGGUGCAUGCUGCCUGCCCUUCCCUCCACCCCCUGGAAGGCGGUGGGAUGCAAGUCCAGGGCAAUCAGCAGGACCUGCUGGCAGCAGGUAGGUGACAGCUCUUGGGCUUUGGAGAGCUACUUUAAAUGCUUUGUGUUUGACAUUCAAGAAAGGAAGAGAACAGCCCAACU
rnacentral:lncRNA from 1 species